GAGGCCUUAGCUUAAUUAAAGUGUCUGGGUUGCAUUCAGAGGAUGUGCAGUAAAGUUGCGCAGGUCUU
rnacentral:tRNA from 1 species